AGUGAACGCUGGCGGUAGGCCUAACACAUGCAAGUCGAACGGCAGCACAGUAAGAGCUUUCUCUUACUGUUGGCGAGUGGCGGACGGGUGAGGAAUACAUCGGAAUCUACUUUUUCGUGGGUGAUAACGUAGGGCAACUUACGCUACUACCGCAUACUACCUACGGGUGAAAGCAGGGGAUCUUCGGACCUUGCGCGAUUGAAUUAGCCGAUGUCGGAUUAGCUAGUUGGCGGGGUAAAGGCCCACCAAGGCGACGAUCCGUAGCUGGUCUGAGAGGAUGAUCAGCCACACUGGAACUGAGACACGGUCCAGACUCCUACGGGAGGCAGCAGUGGGGAAUAUUGGACAAUGGGCGCAAGCCUGAUCCAGCCAUACCGCGUGGGUGAAGAAGGCCUUCGGGUUGUAAAGCCCUUUUGUUGGGAAAGAAAAGAAGCAGGUGAAUACCCCGAUGUUCUGACGGUACCCAAAGAAUAAGCACCGGCUAACUUCGUG
rnacentral:rRNA from 1 species